UCAAGCAGCGUUUUGCCAGCGCUCAGCAGGUAAUAAGCGUGAAAUUAUUCACACACAUAUAGCGCCGUGCUUGGUAGAGAAAAUCUGCGGUAGUACCCGACUGGCCUGGUACCUCAGUACCCAGUGCCCAGUAACCAGCCCCCCAGCCACCUAUCCCCCACCCAGUGCACUCGAUUAGGAAUGGGAAAACAAACUUCGGCUGCUCUUCGUUGAUAUCGGGGCUUCCAGCGCUCGGAUAAGGAAGUAUCCGCCGAGAAGCUGAAGACAUCCGCACCGAAUGUGCCCGAAAAUGUGGUCUACACUCGAAGAAAAAAAGCUGCAAGAUGGUACAAAGUGUUGUCAUAAAACGAGUAAAUAAGUCAUUGGGUAAAUGUUUUCCAUUUGUGAAUUAUCUCCCAACGUUCCAUUCAAAUUACCCAAUGAGAUAAGCUGGGAAUUCCAAGUUACUUGAAGAGCUGCCGCUGAUAAAUUUAUGAAGUGAUCUUUUCUCUGGGUGUAGGUGGGUAAGGAAACCCCGAACGUGAGCUUUUUGCUGAUUAACUCACGAAGAUCGGUGAUGGGAUUGAGAGCAGAUACGGCGAUGGGGGAUACCUGGAUCUUAUCAACCCAAAUCCAACGUAGGCGGGAUCCACUGUACGACGCUGUGAGGGAAACACUUGGGACUUCGAUAAAAACCGGCAGGCCGAAAUGGUCAGCAGUAGUAAAUAACUUCAGAUAGACGGACUCGCAGACCCAGACACAGUAAAAGCACUUUAUGAACUUAUCCGAACCGGCCGUGAGUGGACACUUUCCACGCUGAUUAGGAGAAAUCACCCCGAAAUGACCAAUCAAUUGAAAAGGAAACGAAAACAGAACCGCAGACAAAACCAAUUAGGAGUCGAUUAAUCGCUGGGGCAAUUCAUCUUUGGCCACCAACUCUGACGCAGAGUUCUCCUCCUCCUCCGCUCCGGCUCCAAGUUCGAUAUCGCAAUCGUUUUAUAUCCAAGACAUCGUCGUGCAGCCGACGAGUCAGACGAUCCAAUAGUCCAAUAAUGCGGCAAUCAAGGCUUCCUUUGAUCGAUUGCAUUGAAUCACGGGAAUUGGAUUGGAUAUCGACAUUAUUGGGGGGAUCGCAAAACCAUAUCGAGCUAGCAGGAUGAUGACUUCAACUUCCUUAUCGCGGCCAUCAUCACGUCAAUCCAGCUUUUCGGAUAAGAGCCCGUGACACGGGUAAGUACAUAAAUUAUAAAAUUAGUUGGCACGUUUAGCCGGGCGGGUCCAUAAAAGUGGCGAUAUCACUUCCUAGGAUAACGAUCCAGCUGAAAGAAAAGGUCCCGACUAACAAACAUCAUCAACACGGUUUUGUUCCUUUUCAAUAAUAUUUUAUUUUAAUGUACUUGCAUUAUAUUUAGUUAAUAACUAGAUUUGUAAAUUAUUCUCACUUGAAUGCGUCUAUAAAUUAAAUCUUAUUCGUAACUCACGUCUCUCAGCAUUACUAGAUAAGAAAAAAAAUAGAAGUACCACACACAUACGAUGAUCUUUGAGGGAGGACUCUUCACUUCACCUUCACGUCUCUUCUCUUCCCGCUAACGACUAAGAUUAGUUUCAAUAUGUGCUCUACAUCAUGUCUGUCGUGUUUGCAUUAUCUCUAUGUCUGUAAAUCAGUUAUCAGUUAAUCAGUUUAUCAACAAUUGUACAAGUGACAAAUCUACAAUGAAUUCGAUAAAGCACCGAGCACGUUGACAACUCUGGCGCAUGCAAAUUGAAAUCUCCUACUCCCUCAUCGAGAUGAAUGCCUUAUUUAAAAGUAAGCAAUAAUAUGUAUUUAGUUUUCCAUAGGCUAAAAUGUAGUUCUCUUCCGACCGAAUCGAAUUUCCAAAGGCAUUAAACGACAUUAAAAACGAGGAUCCAUUAAACGAAUUUGCACUACAGUGUGGAGGGCAGCGGCCACUCCAAAAGUUGUUUUAGUUUAGGAUAACAAUUAGAAUGAAGUUGCUUUAAUUAUCAAGAAGGAUCUAAAAACAAAUAGCAAAAAAAGAGGUAAUCAUAAUAAUAAUAAUAAUAAUAAUGGUUUAAUGAUAGCGUUAACUAUAAUAAUUGUAGGCUACCGUUGAAGAAGAAAAACACUCCAAGUCUUUCAAGUUGACCAAAUAGAUGAAUAUUGUGUGGAUCAUCACUUGUACAUUACAUUAUCUAAGUAAUUUAAUUAUGACGAUGACGACAUGAGAACGAUGAAGACGACUAUUAAGCUGAAUUGUGAUUGAACCUGAAAACUCUUUGUUUUUUGAAACGAUUUAUAAAUGUUUAUAGUAAUUCCGUUGCUGCCGAUCAAUGUAAAUGUAAAUGUAAAAUACAAUUGAAAUAAAACUCUAUUUUUCAUACACAACAAAAUAAAUAUGAUUAACAUGGUUGGUUUCUUUGAUGGUUUAUUAGUGUGUUAUUUUGUUAUUGUGUUAUUAUCGAUGUGUUGUUGAUGUUGUUGUUGUGGCUGCCCUACACUUAGAACAAUUCUAGCUAAAAUUGCUGCUAGGCUAGACACCCAGAAUUGGUAGCUUAAGCGAUAAGUUUGCAACAAUUCGCUUGCUUCUUUUUCCUCUUGCAUAUACAAAAGAAGUUUGAAAGAAAGGCAUUUAGAGGUUUUCACUCCUUCUUUUCAAUAGGCUAGUUUUGGUAGCAACAAUCAUUGUUUCUCAUUUGUUUUUUGCAUUUCUUUGUCUGUCAAAAUGGAUUUUAUAUACAAUGGGUUUGUUUGGGGGAAAAAGUAUCCAUUUCUGUUUUUGCUUUUUUUUUUUUACUGUGUUUGUUGUUUUGCUUGUUAUGUUUGUUAUGUUUAAUGUUGGUUUGUUGUCUAACAAUGGCACACACGCAUAUAUAAUUAUUAAGAAUUCGCAUUUAAAUGGUUUCUUUUUCUUUGUUAGGCAUUCUGUGGCUUUAGUGCGGGUGUGAGUUGGGUUGGGUUGGGAAUUUAGAAUACGUUUUUUGAAUACAGUUCGAAUACAAAUCAACAAAAAAUGUAUAAUGCAUGUAAAUGUAUGAACUCGUCGAUUAGAUAUUAUCAGUUGUUUAAAAAGGCCUAAUAUAAUAUUUACAGAUCUCAGCACAAAUAGCAGCAUAAAACUAAAAUUUUGUCAGGUUUAUCUCUAAUCCCUAUCCAGAGUUUCUGAGGUUUUGUAUAUCUGUAUAUAUCUGAUGAACGCUCGAUAUUUUAGUUGGGUCUAUUUAGUGUGUUGUUUGUUUUUUCGCCUCUCGUUAUCGUUAUAAAAUCUAUGUACAUUAUUUAGUAAUGCCUACUUAUAAACUGAGUAUGGUAAUAUCUGCAGCUCCAGUCCGAUCCGUUGCAUGCCCGCCCGCCCAUGUGUUGCCAUGUGGUCACAAAACGCAUAACCCAGCUGAUCCCUAACUUUCCCCCAUUUUGGUAUCCAAUUCUGGACAGUC